rnacentral:rRNA from 1 species
ACGCUCGACACCUACGGGGGCAGCAGUGGGGAAUAUUGCACAAUGGGGGAAACCCUGAUGCAGCGACGCCGCGUGAAGGAAGAAGUAUCUCGGUAUGUAAACUUCUAUCAGCAGGGAAGAAAGUGACGGUACCUGACUAAGAAGCCCCGGCUAACUACGUGCUAGCAGCCGCGGUAAUCUGAGCGGGCUGGCAAGGC